rnacentral:rRNA from 1 species
UACGUAGGGUGCGAGCGUUGUCCGGAAUUACUGGGCGUAAAGAGCUCGUAGGUGGUUUGUCGCGUUGUUCGUGAAAACUCACAACUCAAUUGUGGGCGUGCGGGCGAUACGGGCAGACUGGAGUACUGCAGGGGAGACUGGAAUUCCUGGUGUAGCGGUGAAAUGCGCAGAUAUCAGGAGGAACACCGGUGGCGAAGACGGCCUGCUGGGCUGUUGCUGACGCUGAGGCGCGACAGCGUGGGGAGCAAACAGG